rnacentral:rRNA from 1 species
GGAACACAGGUGCUGCAUGGCUGUCGUCAGCUCGUGUCGUGAGAUGUUGGGUUAAGUCCCGCAACGAGCGCAACCCUUGUCAUUAGUUGCCAUCAUUUGGUUGGGCACUCUAAUGAGACUGCCGGUGACAAACCGGAGGAAGGUGGGGAUGACGUCAAGUCCUCAUGGCCCUUAUGGGUAGGGCUUCACACGUCAUACAAUGGUCGGUACAGAGGGUUGCCAACCCGCGAGGGGGAGCUAAUCCCACAAAGCCGAUCGUAGUCCGGAUCGCAGUCUGCAACUCGACUGCGUGAAGUCGGAAUCGCUAGUAAUCGUGGAUCAGCAUGUCACGGUGAAUACGUUCCCGGGUCUU